GACGAAGGGGGCUAGCGUUGCUCGGAAUCACUGGGCGUAAAGGGUGCGUAGGCGGGGCUUUAAGUCAGGGGUGAAAUCCUGGAGCUCAACUCCAGAACUGCCUUUGAUACUGAAGAUCUUGAGUUCGGGAGAGGUGAGUGGAACUGCGAGUGUAGAGGUGAGAUUCGUAGAUAUUCGCAAGAACACCAGUGGCGAAGGCGGCUCACUGGCCCGGUACUGACGCUGAGGUGCGAAAGCGUGGGGAGCAAACAGG
rnacentral:rRNA from 1 species